rnacentral:rRNA from 1 species
UAAGGCAAAACCGCGAAUGGCUCAUUAAACCAGUUAUGAUCCACUAGAUGGAAAACCCAUUACUCGGAUAACCCUGGUAAUUCUAGAGCUAAUACGUGCUACAUGCUCCGACCGAGAGGGAGGAGUGCUUUUAUUAGAUGAAAACCAAUCGGACCUCGGUCCGUCUCACGAGAACGUGACGAUUCUGAAUAACUUUGUGCAGAGGGCACGGUCUCCGCACCGGCCCCGUGUCUUUCGAGUUUCUGCUUUAUCAUGCUGUGGAUUGUAGGCCAUACGCCUACAGUGGCUGUAACGGAUGACGGAGAAUCAGGGUUCGAUUCCGGAGAGGGAGCCUGAGAAACGGCUACCACAUCCAAGGAAGGCAGCAGGCACGCAAAUUACCCAAUCCCAGCCCGGGGAGGUAGUGACGAAAAAUAACGAUGCGGGACACUUCUGUGUCUGCGUAAUCGGAAUGAGCACACCCCAAACCAUUGUGCAACAACCGAUUGGAGGGCAAGUCUGGUGCCAGCAGCCGCGGUAAUUCCAGCUCCAAUAGCGUAUAUUAAAGUUGUUGCGGUUAAAAAGCUCGUAGUCCGAGCUCAGUUCCGGACUGGCCGGGGAGGUCACCGCCCGGUGCCUUGCCUGGGCCAGGCUCCGAACCAAUGCCCCCGGUCUCCGGGGGCGACACGCCGGUGCUCGCCGGGGUGCUCUUGACCGAGUGUCCCGCGCGGCCGGCCAGUUCACCUUGAAUAAAUGAGAGUGCUCAAAGCAGGCUACUCUUGAAACCUAAAGCCCGAAUGUUACCUGCAUGGAAUGAUGGAAGAUGAUCUCGGUUCCAUUUUAUUGGGGGUGGGAAUCCGAGUUAAUGAUAAACAGGGACUGUCGGGGGCAUCCGUACUACGACGCGAGAGGUGAAAUUCAGUGACCGUCGUAGGACGAACGACAGCGAAAGCAUUUGCCAAGAAUGUCUUCGUUGAUCAAGAACGAAAGUUAGAGGAUCGAAGGCGAUCAGAUACCGCCCUAGUUCUAACCCUAAACGAUGCUGACUAGCAAUUCGCCGUCGUUAUUCCCAUGACGUGGCGAGACGCCCCCGGGAAACCUCAAGUCUUUGAGUUCCGGGGGUAGUAUGGUUGCAAAACUGAAACUUAAAGGAAUUGACGGAAGGGCACCACCAGGAGUGGAGCCUGCGGCUUAAUUUGACUCAACACGGGGAACCUCACCAGGCCCGGACAC